ACCCUAAUCAGUAAAAAAAAAAUCCCCAAAAUAUGGCAACAAUUAUCAGCAAUAUAGAGACAAACAAAAGACCUUCAAUGGAUAUAGUAAGCAAAUACACAAGCGUAUAAACAAAUUCCGGAAUCCAUGGAGUUUGCCAAAAAUAUGCUAACUCCGGCUAAAUAAUAUCACAAAUCACAUUUAACAAAUACAUUAAAACAAAGAAGUGAUUGGUAGCGGCGUUGCUUCAACGGCUUUUGCCGGAGCAACACCAAAAAUCAAGAUCCUACCAGAUUUGAGCAUCGAUGGUGAAAACAUCAUUUUUUUCCAUAAGCAAAAAGUGAAUCCAAGGGAGAUGUGAGGGGGACUGCCGCAAUAGUGGAUGGUUUUGCCGGAAGCUCGCCGUAUCUGUCCAUUUUUCUGACGGGGCAGUGACGGCAUGGCUAUUUUUCCGGCAUUGGGUGAUGGAAAAAAAGAGAGAAAGAAGGGGUAAAAUUGUGGUGGUGGCCGGAGUGGGCUUCGCCGGCCAGUGUUUGGCGGCAGCAAUGGUGAGAGAGAGAGUUUUUAGAGAGACAAAUUGUACGCGUGAGUGUGUUUGUGCGCCUAAUGUUAUUUUUUGUUUUUCAAGGUAUCUCAGUCGGCAGCCGUG
rnacentral:lncRNA from 1 species